GACGAACGCUGGCGGCGUGCCUAAUACAUGCAAGUCGAGCGAACAGAUAAGGAGCUUGCUCCUUUGACGUUAGCGGCGGACGGGUGAGUAACACGUGGGCAACCUGCCUUAUAGUUUGGGAUAACUCGCGGAAACGUGAGCUAAUACCGAAUAAUACAUUGAAACUCCUGUUUCAAUGUUGAAAGAUGGUUUACGCUAUCGCUAUGAGAUGGGCCCGCGGCGCAUUAGCUAGUAGGUGAGGUAACGGCUCACCUAGGCAACGAUGCGUAGCCGACCUGAGAGGGUGAUCGGCCACACUGGGACUGAGACACGGCCCGG
rnacentral:rRNA from 1 species